GCUCUAGUAUGACAAUAAUUUCAGAAAGAAGUUGACAUAACGAAAGUGCGCGAAGUUAAAAUGUAAACAGAGUGGCUUCGAAAUUAUUCGUAAUCUAUCAAAAUAAUGCAUUAUUAGAAAGAGAGAAUGCAAGUAAGAACAAAGUAUUGUAAGUCUUGCAUUUCACAAAAGAAAUAUUUGAUGAAGUGCUUUUCAAAAAGCUAAAUUUUUGGCAGUUGAUCAAAGUAUAGCGUGGAAAUCCAUAUGGAAAAGGAAAUGUGAAUAGUUGUGUCCAGUUUCAUUCUGUGCUUUAGAAAAUGUAUAAAGAUGAAGUACAGGAUAUAAAGAAACUUCUAUGUGCACAUUUUGACUAAAAAUUGAUUUUGGGCACUCCUUGCUCAAUAUGCCGAUCCAAAUGGCCCCUUACUUCAUUGAAUCCAUGACUCCCUUUUCUUACUGACUACAUUAAUAAGAAGAGGGCAAUGACUGGAAUAGAAAUUAUAAAUGUGUCUCUGAUCACAGUGAUGCAUAUGCAAGUACCAAAAGUCUCUCAGCUGGUCUAAUUUUUGGUAUCUAUUUAGUUAGUCAUUUUGUUGGAUUUAUUAUAAGAAAAGGAACUGUUUGAAAACACAGGUUUUCUUUUACAAUGAGGAUAAUAACUGUGUUGAAACUAAAUGUUGUUUCCCUUUGUAUGGAUUUUCUGCAGAAAGUAAAACUACUCUUAAAGGUUUGAAGUUAACUUCAAGUGGAAAUAAAGUUUAAAUAAAUUUUUGUUUCUUUUUAAAAAGAAUGAAUUUCUUCAUUUUUUGCAGAAUUUAUUUUGUUUUAUUUCAAAUUUGAGCCAAUGUCUUGUAUUUUAUUUA